rnacentral:lncRNA from 1 species
AUGCAUAAAGCUUAAUCUUACAUUUUCUUUCUGAUUCUUGGAUUAUAGAGGAACUGAAAACUUUAUACUGCAAGCUUUGAGCAUUUUUUGAGUUUUCAAUGGUCGGUGUUUUAUCAGGUGUAACGCUUAUAUACCUCACUUUCCACAGUUGAAUCAUCUUUUUUUGGUUGGUAAUUUGAAUAAACAUUUGGAAUUCUUAG